rnacentral:lncRNA from 1 species
CCUUGUAUCUAUCCGGCAGAACACGCAUUGGGUGAACAUUUCAGAAGAGGUGUCACUCUUGAAGAUGGAGAAAGGCCUGUCACAUCUUUCGCACUGACAUGGGAUAUUUUAAAAGAGCAGAAAGGAGGUGCUGGUCAGAGGUGAUCCAGGCAUGCCAUUAGAAUUCUCCCAGCUACCUUGAGCUGGGGCAAGGCAAGGGUUCCCCUCUCUGGAAUCUCUUUUUGGUUUGUUUGUUUGUUUUUGUUUUUGUUUUUGAGACAGAGUCUCACUUUGUUGCCCAGGCUGGAGUGCAGUGGCACCAUCUAGGCUUACUGCAACCUCCGCCUCCCAGGUUCAAGCAAUUCUCCUGCCUCAGCCACCCGAGUAGCUGGGAUUACAGGCGUGCACCACCACAUCCUGCUAAUUUUUGUAUUUUUAGUAGAGAUGGGGUUUCUCCAUGUUGGCCAGGCUGGUCUUGAACUCCUGGCCUCAAGUGAUCCACCCACCUUGGCAGCCCAGAGUGCUGGGAUUACAGGCGUGAGCCACUGGGCGCAGCCCCUCUCUGGAAUCUCUAACCCCACAAAGGCGGAAAUUGCAGAGAGAAUGAGCACAGGCUGCUUCCCCACCAAUGGCUAAGCAGGUCCUGCCAGCUCAUGUCUCCUGCCAGCUCAUGUCUCCUGCCAGCUCAUGUCUCCUGCCAUGGGGGUCCUGAGGACAUGCGUGGCAAGCCCCUUGACAGUUGGGAGGAUGGGGGUGAGUGUCCCGCCCCAUCCAUUGUUCUGUGCCGAGUAAAAUUGUGGGACUAAGAGGAUGACUCCCUGACAUCCUGAGAACACCCAACUUUUACAGAACCAUGAGACGCAAGUAGGCAAGAUUUCUGAACAAAGCAGGGGUGUGAAGCAGAUUGAUGCAGGUGCUAGGUGCCCUCCUGCGUCCCUGAGCCUGUUUCUGGCCAAAGCUCACAGAGUACACUGAAAACAAAUGGCACAGCUCACCCAUCACGUCUGCUUCCCACUAACAAGCAAGAGUGCCAUGGGAUGAGGUCUCCUAGGCCAUGGGCAGAGGCCCCUCAGGGGUUCCCACCAUGCAUGGUCCCCUGGAGAAGAGCCUGCAAGGUGGCCGCGCCCCUGCCCUGGCUCUCCCAGCCCCUGGGCUUUGCUGUUCUGCCCACUCCAGGACACUGAGGCCUGCUGGAGAGGGGGGUAAACCCUACCUGGGGCAGGCCUCGGGGAAGCCUGGCCUCAGGCUUCUCAUGUUGAUUGAUUCAGAGCAAGUCAAAUGCAGCAGGCUCAUCCUUGCUUCAGCUUCAGUCGGUGGUGUGUUUGCUGGCUUCCUGUCUGUCCUUCAUCAGCCCACAGAGGCAUCAAGGCCUGUGUCACUCACAGCUGUGUCCCCAGCAACCAGCAUUGAGCACAGGAAGGACUCGGGAGGGAAGUUCAGAUCCUCAAUCUCAUGCUGGCCACAUGUACCUUCAAAGAGAGCUUCCGGUAGCCUUCUGCUACAUCCCAAAUAGCCACAGUCCUAUCAAACCCUCCAGAAAUGAGAAAAGAGCCUGCAACAGAAAAUGAAAGGGUGGAGAUGGGGGUCAACUUUCCAAGCCAAGUGAGCCCAAAGCCAGCUGAAGAUGCCUUGGCGAGGCACCACCUCAUCUCACUCUGACAACACUGAAACCCCUUCCUGGAGUGGCUCCACGACCCCAAGCCAAUUACAGCUGAUUCUUAUCAUUUACAGUAGUCAUGUUCUAUGACAGGGGUCCCCAGUCCCUGGGCCACAGACUGGUACCAAUCCAUGGCCUGUUGGGAACCAGGCCACCCAGCAGACAGUGAGUGGUAGGCAAGCAAGCCAAAGCUUCAUCUGUAUUUACAGCCACUCCCCAUCGCUCGUAUUACCACCUGAGCUCGGCCUCCUGUCAGAUCAGCUGCAGCAUUCGAUUCUCAC